CGGGGAAUUUUGGACAAUGGGCGCAAGCCUGAUCCAGCCAUGCCGCGUGCAGGAUGAAGGCCUUCGGGUUGUAAACUGCUUUUGUACGGAACGAAAAGACUCCUUCUAAUAAAGGGGGUCCAUGACGGUACCGUAAGAAUAAGCACCGGCUAACUACGUGCCAGCAGCCGCGGUAAUACGUAGGGUGCGAGCGUUAAUCGGAAUUACUGGGCGUAAAGCGUGCGCAGGCGGUUAUGUAAGACAGAUGUGAAAUCCCCGGGCUCAACCUGGGAACUGCAUUAGUGACUGCAUAGCUGGAGUACGGCAGAGGGGGAUGGAAUUCCGCGUGUAGCAGUGAAAUGCGUAGAUAUGCGGAGGAACACCGAUGGCGAAGGCAAUCCCCUGGGCCUGUACUGACGCUCAUGCACGAAAGCGUGGGGAGCAAACA
rnacentral:rRNA from 1 species